rnacentral:rRNA from 1 species
AUGAACGCUGGCGGCGUGCCUAAUACAUGCAAGUUGAGCGAACAGACGAGGAGCUUGCUCCUCUGACGUUAGCGGCGGACGGGUGAGUAACACGUGGAUAACCUACCUAUAAGACUGGGAUAACUUCGGGAAACCGGAGCUAAUACCGGAUAAUAUAUUGAACCGCAUGGUUCCAUAGUGAAAGACGGUUUUGCUGUCACUUAUAGAUGGAUCCGCGCCGCAUUAGCUAGUUGGUAAGGUAACGGCUUACCAAGGCGACGAUGCGUAGCCGACCUGAGAGGGUGAUCGGCCACACUGGAACUGAGACACGGUCCAGACUCCUACGGGAGGCAGCAGUAGGGAAUCUUCCGCAAUGGGCGAAAGCCUGACGGAGCAACGCCGCGUGAGUGAUGAAGGUCUUCGGAUCGUAAAACUCUGUUAUUAGGGAAGAACAAAUGUGUAAGUAACUAUGCACGUCUUGACGGUACCUAAUCAGAAAGCCACGGCUAACUACGUG